UCCAGCAGAGCUCUUUUUAGGUUUUUAACCCACCCUCAAAGCUCUGAUUGACCAAGCUUUCGUGCAUCUUGGCGACUUCUGAUUUCAAAGAUCCUCGAGUGAAAGGAACAGCGUGUGGAUUGUCAUAAGCCAUCUGGCAAAGGACUGGCAGAUAAACCUCUCAGAUCGUUCAGCACAGAUACAGAUUCUCCAUCGUCUAACACCAGAAAGCGGCGUCUUGCGUGCGACUUGGAAGGCGCUGCCCUGCUCUGCCGAAGCAAGGGGAUGCACAGAGGCCAAGCUUGAAAUCCUGUGCGCCGUUCCGCUUGACAAAUGGCGUGCUAAAAAUGGAAAGCACAGAACAGAAGGCAACCAGUAGGAUAAAAAAAAGAAGAAGACACACACAUAGAAAAAGAGACUUUGGUUCUUCAGGAAGGAUGGAGAGGGGAGCAACGGAAUCCCAACAGCAAAGCCUUCGAAAACCGAGAGCUGAACAGAGGGACCUCGUUAAGCCUUCAGUGUAUGGUUUUUGAAAGGACGACAUUUGGCGACAGACACCAACAGCAAACAGAGGAAUCGGGAAGAUGUUAGUGCACACAACCUCAUGCCAAUGUGGAAGUUACUGUGAGCAGUCAGCUGUGUAAUAUGAGGUCUUCUUCGGUGGUUUCUGGCAAAGAUACUUACAGUAUAUAAUGAGAAGAAAGAAAGAAAGAAAGAAAGAAAGAAAGAAAGAAAGAAAGAGAAACCUGUGACCCUCCAAAUGUUGACAUUAAACUCCCAUCAUCCCUGACCAUUGGGCCAUGCUGGAGUUGUAGUCCAAUGGUAGCCAAAGGGCCAUUGGUUCCUCACCCCAGAAUUGUAGAAUGGAGCAGAGAAGGGAACUCAAAACGAGUUUGCCACGAGGCCAAAGUUCUCUCUGUAGGCCUAUGCAGAAAUCUUCCCUGUUCUUCUAUGCCCAUGUUCAAUUUGGCAUGCCCGCCACAGCCGUCUCGACUAAAAUAAAUGCAUAACAGAUAAAAUGAGAGCCAAUAACGAAGGAUGACCUCUCCCAGCUGCAGUGGGCUCUCCUUUAAACCCUUGGCGAAGAUCAUUAGUGUCUUGUCGUAAAUGCAAAGCUAAAGGUUAUUGUUAUUGCCAGAGCUGUCAAUCUCCUUUGCAAAUAAUGAGAGCAACAAGAGCAGCAGCAGCAGCAGCAGCGAACGGCCGCUUGAAACAGUUGGAAUCCCUCUGUGCUCUUGCACACUUCCCUUUUUUGGGAAGGAAAAAAGAGCUUUCGGAGCCGUUGCAAAUGGCAGUUAAGAAUAACAGAUCUCCGCAGCCUGUCUGGCUCCAGGGUCAUUUAAUUCAUAUACCGGCGCAGGCAGCUUGAAGGGGAAUCGAGAACGGAAGCCAGCUAUGCGUGGAAAUCCUUUAUUUUUGAUUUGUAAUGUCUCAGCAUGGAGGAUCAUGGGAAAUCAAGAGAGAUUUCUUGUGUUGCUUUUUUUUUAUAAAAAAAAGCAACACAAAAUUAUUUGUGCAAAACUAACUGGUGUGGAGAAUAAG